AGUGAACGCUGGCGGUAGGCCUAACACAUGCAAGUCGAACGGCAGCACAGUAAGAGCUUGCUCUUACGGGUGGCGAGUGGCGGACGGGUGAGGAAUACAUCGGAAUCUACUUUUUCGUGGGGGAUAACGUGGGGAAACUUACGCUAAUACCGCAUACGACCUACGGGUGAAAGCAGGGGAUCUUCGGACCUUGCGCGACUGAAUGAGCCGAUGUCGGAUUAGCUAGUUGGCGGGGUAAAGGCCCACCAAGGCGACGAUCCGUAGCUGGUCUGAGAGGAUGAUCAGCCACACUGGAACUGAGACACGGUCCAGACUCCUACGGGAGGCAGCAGUGGGGAAUAUUGGACAAUGGGCGCAAGCCUGAUCCAGCCAUACCGCGUGGGUGAAGAAGGCCUUCGGGUUGUAAAGCCCUUUUGUUGGGAAAGAAAAGCAGCAGGUUAAUACCCCGCUGUUCUGACGGUACCCAAAGAAUAAGCACCGGCUAACUUCGUG
rnacentral:rRNA from 1 species